AAACCAACCGGGAUUGCCUUAGUAACGGCGAGUGAAGCGGCAAAAGCUCAAAUUUGAAAUCUGGUACCUUCGGUGCCCGAGUUGUAAUUUGGAGAGGGCAACUUUGGGGCCGUUCCUUGUCUAUGUUCCAUGGAACAGGACGUCAUAGAGGGUGAGAAUCCCGUGUGGCGAGGAGUGCGGUUCUUUGUAAAGUGCCUUCGAAGAGUCGAGUUGUUUGGGAAUGCAGCUCUAAGUGGGUGGUAAAUUCCAUCUAAAGCUAAAUAUUGGCGAGAGACCGAUAGCGAACAAGUACAGUGAUGGAAAGAUGAAAAGAACUUUGAAAAGAGAGUGAAAAAGUACGUGAAAUUGUUGAAAGGGAAGGGCAUUUGAUCAGACAUGGUGUUUUGUGCCCUCUGCUCCUUGUGGGUAGGGGAAUCUCGCAUUUCACUGGGCCAGCAUCAGUUUUGGUGGCAGGAUAAAUCCAUAGGAAUGUAGCUUGCCUCGGUAAGUAUUAUAGCCUGUGGGAAUACUGCC
rnacentral:rRNA from 1 species